CAGCCGCCACGGGAAUACGGGGGGAGCUAGCGUUGUUCGGAAUCACUGGGCGUAAAGCGCACGUAGGCGGCUAUUCAAGUCAGGGGUGAAAGCCCGGGGCUCAACCCCGGAACUGCCUUUGAAACUAGCAAGCUAGAGUCUUGCAGAGGGGGGUAGAAUUCCAAGUGUAGCGGUGAAAUGCGUAGAGAUCUGGAGGAAUACCGGUGGCGAAGGCGGCCCCCUGGACAAAGACUGACGCUCAGGUGCGAAAGCGUGGGGAGCAAACAGGAUUAGAUACCCGCGUAGUCCCUGUCUCUUAUAC
rnacentral:rRNA from 1 species